UUAAGUUCAGCGGGUAGUCCUACCCGAUCCGAGGUCAAGUUUUUAGAUGUAGCUUUUUUCAAAAGCAUGUAAGGGCUGUGGUCCGCCGCUGCAGCUCUCCUAAGCGAGAAGGGUUGUUCUACUGCGCUAGGGGCCGCCGCGAGUCCGCCGCUUCAUUUCGGCUCGGGUCGCCUAAAAAUAAGGCGCCCAGUGCCAACGCC
rnacentral:misc_RNA from 1 species